CUCCUUAGUUGCAGACUUUGUCCUUCGUGAAAUAUUGAAGGAAACUCCGUUCGGAACAAAAGCGCGUGCUUGCCAAUCCAAUGCUCUGACAUCAGCAACCCGUUUACAUGAAAGUAAACAAAACAACAUCAACAGUUUGGUUGAUAAUUGUUUAAGAGAAAGCUCAUGAUUCAAAGGCCAAGACUCGAGAAAACAAAAAAUCACAUUGACAUCCCAGAAGGAAGAAUACCGAGCCUGCGGGGGUCGAGCAAACCGGAUGCCUUUGAGCAAACGACAGAUGAGGGUAUG